rnacentral:rRNA from 1 species
UUUGAUCCUGGCUCAGGACGAACGCUGGCGGCGUGCCUAAUACAUGCAAGUCGAGCGGACAGAUGGGAGCUUGCUCCCUGAUGUUAGCGGCGGACGGGUGAGUAACACGUGGGUAACCUGCCUGUAAGACUGGGAUAACUCCGGGAAACCGGGGCUAAUACCGGAUGCUUGUUUGAACCGCAUGGUUCAAACAUAAAAGGUGGCUUCGGCUACCACUUACAGAUGGACCCGCGGCGCAUUAGCUAGUUGGUGAGGUAACGGCUCACCAAGGCAACGAUGCGUAGCCGACCUGAGAGGGUGAUCGGCCACACUGGGACUGAGACACGGCCCAGACUCCUACGGGAGGCAGCAGUAGGGAAUCUUCCGCAAUGGACGAAAGUCUGACGGAGCAACGCCGCGUGAGUGAUGAAGGUUUUCGGAUCGUAAAGCUCUGUUGUUAGGGAAGAACAAGUACCGUUCGAAUAGGGCGGUACCUUGACGGUACCUAACCAGAAAGCCACGGCUAACUACGUGCCAGCAGCCGCGGUAAUACGUAGGUGGCAAGCGUUGUCCGGAAUUAUUGGGCGUAAAGGGCUCGCAGGCGGUUCCUUAAGUCUGAUGUGAAAGCCCCCGGCUCAACCGGGGAGGGUCAUUGGAAACUGGGGAACUUGAGUGCAGAAGAGGAGAGUGGAAUUCCACGUGUAGCGGUGAAAUGCGUAGAGAUGUGGAGGAACACCAGUGGCGAAGGCGACUNU